UUCUAGAGAUAGAAAGUUACUUCGGUACAUCGGUGGACAGGUGGUGCAUGGUUGUCGUCAGCUCGUGUCGUGAGAUGUUGGGUUAAGUCCCGCAACGAGCGCAACCCCUAUUGUUAGUUGCCAUCAUUCAGUUGGGCACUCUAGCGAGACUGCCGGUAAUAAACCGGAGGAAGGUGGGGAGUGACGUCAAAUACAUCAUGCCCCUUAUGACCUGGGCUACACACGUGCUACAAUGGUUGGUACAACGAGUUGCGAGUCGGUGACGGCGAGCUAAUCUCUUAAAGCCAAUCUCAGUUCGGAUUGUAGGCUGCAACUCGCCUACAUGAAGUCGGAAUCGCUAGUAAUCGCGGAUCAGCACGCCGCGGUGAAUACCGUUCCCGGGCCUU
rnacentral:rRNA from 1 species